UUAACGGCUUGAACUGGCAACUUGGAGAAGUGGCAAGUCUAAUAGUAUGGGAGUCCAGUUUAUGGGCAAGUCUUUUUUUUACCGAUUUUCUCCCGGUAAGUAAUAUAACAUUUCCUUUUAUAGGAAUAGUCCAAGUUAUAUAAAAAGGACAAGUCAUAUACAUGGGCUGGUACCGACCCAUUCUAGUAGAUUUUAUUAGAAUUGAAUGAAGCUUUGUUUAUAUAUUGAUAAUGACAGUAUAUAUAUCGUGUCUUGACUAAUUGCGUGCCAGCAGUCGCGGUAAUACGUAAGAGACUAGUGUUAUUCAUCUUAAUUAGGUUUAAAGGGUACCCAGACGGUCAAUAUAGCUUAUAAAAUGUUAGUACUUGACUAGAGUUUUAUGUAAGAGGGCAGUACUUGAGGAGGAGAGAUGAAAUUCUGUGAUACCAAAGGGACUCUGUAAAGGCGAAGGCAGCCCUCUAUGUAGAAACUGACGUUGAAGGACGAAGGCACAGAGAACAAACAGGAUUAGAUACCCAAGUAGUCUUUGCAGUAAAUGAUGAAUGCCAUAGGUUAGAUUAAUAGUUAAUGUUUAUAGGCUGUAGCAAGUUAAAGCUAUAGACUAUACAUUAAAAAUUAUUUGGUCUAUAAAUGAAAGUGUAAGCAUUUCACCUCAAGAGUAAUGUUGCAAACGCAGGG
rnacentral:rRNA from 1 species